rnacentral:rRNA from 1 species
GACGAACGCUGGCGGCGUGCUUAACACAUGCAAGUCGAACGGAAAGGCCCUGCUUUUGUGGGGUGCUCGAGUGGCGAACGGGUGAGUAACACGUGAGUAACCUGCCCUUGACUUUGGGAUAACUUCAGGAAACUGGGGCUAAUACCGGAUAGGAGCUCCUGCUGCAUGGUGGGGGUUGGAAAGUUUCGGCGGUUGGGGAUGGACUCGCGGCUUAUCAGCUUGUUGGUGGGGUAGUGGCUUACCAAGGCUUUGACGGGUAGCCGGCCUGAGAGGGUGACCGGCCACAUUAGGACUGAGAUACGGCCCAGACUCCUACGGGAGGCAGCAGUGGGGAAUAUUGCACAAUGGGCGGAAGCCUGAUGCAGCAACGCCGCGUGCGGGAUGACGGCCUUCGGGUUGUAAACCGCCUUCGCCUGUGACGAAGCGUGAGUGACGGUAAUGGGUAAAGAAGCACCGGCUAACUACGUG